AGUUAUUCGCGUAGGGUACAGAGGUAAGAUGUUCUAUCUUUCAGACCUUUUACUUCACGUAAUCGGAUUUGGCUGAAUAUUUUAGCCGCCCCAGUCAUUUAUGGCUGGGGCGUUUUUUA
rnacentral:other from 2 species